GACGAACGCUGGCGGCGUGCCUAAUACAUGCAAGUUGAGCGCUGAAGGUUGGUACUUGUACCAACUGGAUGAGCAGCGAACGGGUGAGUAACGCGUGGGGAAUCUGCCUUUGAGCGGGGGACAACAUUUGGAAACGAAUGCUAAUACCGCAUAAAAACUUUAAACACAAGUUUUAAGUUUGAAAGAUGCAAUUGCAUCACUCAAAGAUGAUCCCGCGUUGUAUUAGCUAGUUGGUAAGGUAAAGGCUCACCAAGGCAAUGAUACAUAGCCGACCUGAGAGGGGAUCGGCCAACAUGGGACCGGGGAACGGGCCAAGCUCCUACGGGGAGGAGCCAUAAGGAAACUUCGGCAAAGGACGGAAGUCUUACCGGACAACGCCGCGGGAGUGAAUAAGGGUUUCGGAUCGUAAAACUCUGUUUGUAGGGAAGGACGUUGGUGGGAGUGAAAAGCUCAUCAAGUGACGGUAACUACCCAGAAAGGGACGGCUAACUACGUG
rnacentral:rRNA from 1 species